CCUACGGGUCGCAGCAGUGGGGAAUCUUGCGCAAUGGGCGAAAGCCUGACGCAGCGACGCCGCGUGCGGGAAGAAGGCCUUCGGGUUGUAAACCGCUUUCAGGAGGCACGAGGCCACUCGGGUUAAUAGCCUAGAGGGUGACGGUACCUCCAGAAGAAGCCCCGGCUAGCUACGUGCCAGCAGCCGCAGUAAUACGUAGGGGGCUAGCGCUGUCCGGAUUUAUUGGGCGUAAAGAGCGCGUAGGCGGCCGAGUAAGUCCGACGUGAAAUCUGGAGGCUCAACCUCCAGCGGUCGUUGGAAACUACUCGGCUAGAGUCCGGAAGAGGAGAGUGGAAUUCCUGGUGUAGCGGUGAAAUGCGCAGAUAUCAGGAAGAACACCGAUGGCGAAAGCAGCUCUCUGGGACGGUACUGACGCUGAGGCGCGAAAGCGUGGGGAGCGAACAGGAUUAGAUACCCGCGUAGUC
rnacentral:rRNA from 1 species